GGACGGUACGUGUUUCUUCGCUCAAGCGCCGCGGUGACCCACGCACCAGCCGGGCGUGAAGCGCUGGCCGCGGCGACGAGAAGCCGAGCUUGGAGAGCUAAUCUGAGGGUUCUACUCCGCAUUGGAUGAACCUAAGUAUUCAGCAGUCCCUGUUGCUGUUGUUAAAUGAGGAUCAUAGGUCAUUAAGCAAGAACUUCUUUGUAACUUCCUGACAGCUUCCAACAACCAAAGUCAAUGGGAAGCCAGCAAGAAGUUGCAAGUCCCAGAUGGCUCACAAGCAGGCUAGCAGGCAGCAACUUGAAAAUGAUUGAUGGACGUCCAAUGCAUCUGCAGCUUUUCAAGCCAAAAGACGGGCAUUUCCAGCAUCUGGAAGGAGACAUGGUGUUAAGACUAUGGAAAUCUGAAAGAAAUAGAGCUGAACGAUAUUAUGAAGAGAAACACAGAAUGGAUAUGUACAAAUACGUAUUUUAUUUGCAGCACUGAACUAUUAAUCAUGUUAAAAACAAGAAGGGAAUGUAUUUGGUAAAACACACUUUAUUCAAACAAUGUAUCAUAAGUUUUCAUGUCCUUGACUUUGAGGGAUAUAAAAUGAGACCAAGAGUUAAAUUACCAUCAGUAUAAAUGAUUUGGUCCUAAAUUUUAUAUUUUAUAAAUGAUAUUUUAUAUCAUUACAUAAUAAACAAAUGGUAACAAAUCAACUCCCUAUUUCUACUUGGAACAUUCUAAUCUUACUUCUAGAGGCAUGUGGACCCUGCACUAGGUUAACAGGCAUUUAUGAUGACUUGUAAAAUACUACAUAUUGCCUGAUUACUUCUGGGCAUUUAAAAUUUUAUGUUUAUUUAUGCAUGUGAUUUGCUACAUUUGAAAUGAAGCAUAAAUGGAUGACAAAAUUAUGCUAUCAACAACACUUGUCACACCUUGAUGGCAUUUACCCAUUACAAAUAAUUCAGGAACCUCUUGAUUAUUUAGCUUUAAUAAAAAGGUUAACGGUGAA